rnacentral:rRNA from 1 species
GUCUCAGUUCGGAUUGAAGGCUGAAAUUCGCCUUCAUGAAGCCGGAAUUGCUAGUAAUGGCAGGUCAGCAUACUGCCGUGAAUACGUUCCCGGGCCUUGUACACACCGCCCGUCACACCAUGAGAGUUGGGAAUACCCGAAGCCUGUGAGCUAACUUUAAGAGGCAGCAGUCGAAGGUAGAAUCAAUGAUUGGGGUGAAGUCGUAACAAGGUAGC